rnacentral:lncRNA from 1 species
CUAAAUAUGAUAAACAGAAUGGCAUGUCUAAUGCUCUGCAAGCCAAACUGCUGCACUGUCUUCUCUUGUGACUUUAUCUCUUUUGUUGGAUCUGUAGGAUGAGAAGCCAAAUGACAAGGCAGGCCCACGAAGAACUUUGCUUAAGGCAGACAAGCAGUUGCCAAAACCAACCUCUGGGAGGUCUGAGAAGAAAUGAUCAAAACGUUGCUGUGUGAUUGCAUCCACUCUGCCAGAAUCUGCAGCACCAGGUUGAGACAGAUCCCUUCACGCUAUUGUGCCCUUCAGGAAUACUGUCAAAUUCAAUCAUUCAGGACUCGCUUCCUAUAUGUUUUGGUCUGCAUUUACGGUUGGAGGCGUUUCAUGCUUUCCGUGUUGGAUAGAGACGACCAGAUAUCUAGAAAAUGAAGAGCCAAAGAUGUGGUAUAUUGCACCUGCUCCAGCUAUUACUGAAAUUCCAGCUGCAGAGGAGUUACAGAAGGAACUGGAAAAAAACACAGUCUACAGUCAUAUGGGAGAGAGACAGCAUCAGAAGUUUAUACAGCCGUGCAAGAGAAAUACUGAGGAAGUAAAUGAGAAGUCACGAGCACCUGUUCAUUUUGGGAUAGCUUCUAAAAAAGAAGAGCUCCAGUUAGGUUUAGGAGAAAAGGAUAAAACUAAUUUUCAGUGUGAAAGUCUGAAAAUGGUUUCAUCAUUUCUCUCAUCUGACCAAGAUAAAUAUAAAACAGGAAUUGGGGCUUGUCAACAACCUGGUGCAAAUAUGUCACAAAACAAAAUAUUAAUUAAUCUUCCAGACAACAGUGAUGAUGAAAGUAUCCAUUCAACAUUAAGAAAAAGGUAUGUUUCUAGGCAAUUAUGAUAAUCUGUCUAUUAGCCGAAUCAUAUUAUUGUUUCAGGUGUAUUUGUCAAAUGCAGAGAUUUGGAUUCUUAAAUGAAAGUGCCUUAAUAGGGCUACAGGCACUCAUUUUUUUGAAUGUAAGGAGAAAAAGAAAUUCCUUCUGGCAGUCUUUUAGUACUGUAAUUGUAUGUGUCCUGAGCUCAACCUGCUUUACAAGGAAGGUAAGGAGGAGGUUGGUUUGAUUAAUUUUAAAUAAGCUAUCAGAUAACAAGGGUUCUUUGAAAUACUGUUUUUAGUUGUUCAUCUACUUGGUAAAGAGCAAGAAAACUAAGGUCACUUCCUUUUCAGAGGAGGGUUCAGGUAGCCAAGAAUACCUAUGUUAUUUCAGUGCUCUCCGGGAGGAGGAGUUUUACAGGUAAAUUCAGCUUCUAUGCCCAGCUCUUCUCAGUCCUCAAAAGCUGUACGCCUCUAUUCUUUUUAGUUACGCAGAGACUGACAAUUAAUUUGCUAUAGGGAUUGAGACCCCAUCUGGACAAGUCGUUUAUUCUUUCAGCCCUGGAAUGAAAGUAAAACUAAAUUUAUUGUGAAAGGAGUCUUCUUCAGGUAGAAAAAUGUCAGUUGAAGCAUAUAAAAUAAGAUCCAAACUUAUUCUAUGACUAUACCUUACUAGUUUUGCCUGCAAUAUAAACGUGCAUCUUUUUCAAAUGUUAGAGAAACUGCAUAAUGUAUAAUAAAUUGAUGAAGAUCCUGUAUCCUUUGCA